rnacentral:misc_RNA from 1 species
CUGGUUCAGGUGGAUUUUCCAGGUUGGAUUCAAAGAGAUUCAAUUUAAUGAUUUUGUUAAGGAUUUCUGGUAGCAUUUAUAACUAUGCAACGGGUUGAAUCUAAGAAUUGUGCUGUGCAACCAAUCCAACACACUUGCAAAUGAAUCAAGCUAAUUCGAAGAUACGAAAACCAAAAUAAUGAAUUUUCUAUUUUCUCAUAUGAGUUAUCUUUAAUUUUCUUCUUGCUUGGUGCUUAUCUCGUAU